rnacentral:rRNA from 1 species
AGGAUAAACGCUGGCGGCGUGCCUAACACAUGCAAGUCGAACGUCUCUUUCUUCGGGAAGAGGAGUGGCGGACGGGUGAGGAACACGUGGGAACCUGCCCUUCAGUGAGGAAUACCGGCGAGAAAUCGCCGACAAGACCGCAUAGCCCUCUCUGGUGAGAGCCAGAGAAGGAAAGCCUCGCAAGAGGCGCUGGAGGAGGGGCCUGCGUCCGAUUAGCUAGUUGGUGGGGUAAGAGCCUACCAAGGCGUCGAUCGGUAGCUGGUCUGAGAGGACGAUCAGCCACACUGGGAUUGAGAACGGCCCAGACUCCUACGGGGGCAGCAGUGAGGAAUUUUCGGCAAUGGGGGAAACCCUGACCGAGCAACGCCGCGUGCAGGAGACGGCCUCGGUUGUAACUGCUUUCUUUGGACGAGCAAGGACGGUACCAGAGGAAUCAGCCCGGCUCACUACGUGCCAGCAGCCGC